AAGCGACGAAAAGCAAAGCUUCUCCUCCAAAAACGAAUUCUCUUCCCGCAAUGCUUUUCCAAGUACGAUUUCGUUAACGUAAAGGUGUGGUUGGGUGAUAAUGCGGAUCAUUACUAUGUUCUGUCCAGAUUUUUGCUCAGUAGGACGCUAACUGUAACCAAGUGAUGGGUGACAAAGGAAAACUUUAUGUUCCUCAAGAGCUAAUAUUAAUCUAUCGUGAAAGGGUUGUUCCAGUAGCUUCAAUGUUAACUCCUAACCAGUUUGAAGCAGAACUACUAACACAAUUCAAGUAAUUAUCCCACAAUUAAGGCUGCAUGAAGCCUUUUGUUCCCCCCUGUUAUAUAGUUUCCUUUCCUUUGGUUUUUUUGUUUCAAUGUCUACCACUCUAUAAUUGAAAAUGUGUUCUUCCCAACAAAUAUGACUCUAUAAGCAGCUGUCUCGGCAAUACUCGAAUACUCACCAUUCUUGCUUCUAGUUAGAGGAACUGAUUUCUUCAAAUAAUCAAAUAGGAAUCUUGUAAUUCUCAUCUGGUGACUUAUGAAAAAGGUCAAUUAGCAUAUAAAAAAAGGCCCACCUUUUUUGGUGACUUAUGAAAUGAUAGUUACCUUUGUUAACCACUUAUUAAUUAAUUGGCUUUUUGAAUGGGUCUGUAUGGUAUGUUUUUUGGUCAAACUCAUUUUUCUUUGCAUUGGACGGGCAAAUUAAUAAGGGGAAGAAGAAACUAUUACAUUAUUACCGUAUUCUUUUGUGGAAAAAAUUAAAAGGUUCUUUUCACCUUACUUUAAUUUAUGUUAUAGUUUCACGUGAAUGAAGUAAUGAAUAAGUGUGGUUAAGGUCACUAACAUAUACAUACUAUACUAGUACUAGCGUGUAA